GGGCGGGGGGCGCACGCUGGCGCGGCUGCGGGGCGCGCGGGGGGUGCUGCUGGCGGCGGCGGCGGCGCUGCUGGGCGUCUACGUGUACUACCGCCCCGACCUGUUCUUCAACAGGGAAAUUGACUACGUUUAGCCGAAUAUGUAUAUUUAGUGAGCGGAACCGCUUGAAUAACUUCACUAAGACUUUAAACAUUCAGAUGCCUUAUAUAUCGUGUAGUGUAGAUGAUGUAGCGAACUUUGGUAAUUGUAAGCAAAAUAUGUAAUACUAUGCGUGUUUAUAUAACGUUAUUUCCAAAGCUAACCCCCUUUUAAAGAUAAAAUAAAACUAUUUAAUUUAUUUAUUUAUUAUAAGCUUAUUAGGAAAUAUAUAUAUAGUUAGUACGAUUUAAAAGAAUUCUGUUUAAAAAAAAAUUGGUUAAUUAAUUAAAAUUAAGACGAGAAAAUCUCUAUUUGAUUUCUGUUAAAUGAACAAGCAAUAUGUUUUAACUUUACACAAGUAACUUAUUUUAGUAUAUAAGCUUAUCGAUUAAAUAUAAAUCGAUUUCAUAUAAUCGAUUACUUCCUUAUUAAAAUAAAUAUUAUUUUUGUAAGCCAAAUUUUAGGAAGAACUUAGAAAGUGAUUUCGUCUCAACGUCAGACGGUUCUAUCGAUUAGAUAUAAAUCGAUGUCGGAUAAUCAUUAACUUUCUGAUUAUAUAUAAUGUAAAUUUAUGUUAUUAUUUGUAAGUUAACUUUUAGGAAAUACUUAGAAAUGUAUUUCGCUUCAAUGAGAGACUAUUCUAUGAAUUAAAUUGAUCUAUCGCUGUGAUUGCUUUAGGAUUAAAAUUCAAUUAAAUUUUUACCAUAAAAGAAAACACAAUUCAUGUAAUAAACUAAAUACCGUCAGCUGUUUUCACAUGUAUGUUCACGAGCGUUCACAGCUGCUAACCUAUUGGCAUUCUUCAUGGCAAUAUAUUUAUGUGAAGCAUGCUGUCGAUAGGUGUACUCGUGUAAUCGUUAUAUGGCAAUAAAAAAAUAUAAUAAAUGUUUAAUCUAUGAUUAAGAAAAGGUUAGAAAAGUUCGAAUCUAUUUUUGGCAAAAAUCGCUUUCACGUCGACCACGGGAGAACAAUCGGUUGUUAUUUUAGCCUGUCUCCCGUAGCUGGCUGGCUGUAUUGGUUGUCCUAAAUGCGACAUCGAUAUUAAUUUAUUUGCAUAAAAAAUCGAUUAUUUUUUUGUAAAAUGUGAUAUUUCAUACAUCGUAAUUUGACUUUUAGAUUAAGUAUAGGUUCGUUCUUUUGUCGUUAGAGCGUAUUGUUGAGUUGCCUUUAGCAUUUAUUACGUGUACUGCAAGCGUCGUUUGCAUGUCGAUGUCACUCCGAGAUAGUUUGAAUGCGUAUAGGAAGAUUAUAUUUAGUUCGGAAUUAGUUCCAAUAACAAUUUGUAUGGAAGAAAUCAUGACUCUCGUGUUUAAACUUAUAUCACUUAACCCAAAUUCAUUCGAGUCGAAAUGCAGUAGGUUCGAGUCUCACAUGUCCACGACGCGUCCCACACAUGGGCUGAUAAUGCUGCGGUUCAAGGCCAUAUAACAUUAAAUUUAGGCCUGAAAUUUAAACAGACUUUUAAUGACAUUUCAUUAUUUCCGCGAUCGUGAUCUUUAUUCAUGCAUCUUUUGUUUGAAUACAAAAAAUCUUUUGAAUAAUUUGCGUAAUAAUAAUUUUUUUUUUAUUGUAAUACUUGAUAUAUUUAUUAUAAAAAAAAAACAAUAAUGUAUGUUUUGUGGACACUAAUGUUUUUUUUAUGAAGUAUAUUAGUAUUAAUUCCUGGUAACGUGUUUUUCACAUUUGAAAUUUACAAAUUAUAUAUUCAUCAAGCUCACAUACAUUUUUAAAUUGGUGUACUUUCCAUAUCGACGCUUGAAAGGCAAACGCGACUAAGCGACAAUAACUGCUUUGUACAUAAAUGAUAGGCAAUAACCAUAUUCGAUGCGCAAAAAAAAAAAAAUAUUUCUAGAUCUAUUAAAAUCAUUUGAAUCCUACAGCUAGAUUCGUUAAAAUAAAUUUUGUUUUCAGAUAUUUCAACUUUAAAUUAGUCUACUGUAAAGUUCACGCAUUGUCGCUUAGUCACGUUUGCCUUUCAAGCAUCGAUAUAUAUUUUCCAGAAAGAAAGAAGUUUAUACGUACUAUUUUUUAGUAUGUUUGUGUGAAUAUUUUUAAUAGGAACAAGAUUAGUUUGAGAUCGAAAAGUACUUAAAGGUACAGUUGUUUCCAAACGUGUGUGUAUAUUCUUCAGGAUAAAUCGUGUGUUAUAACAAAAUUGAACUCUAUAAAUAAUAUGUUAAGUUCCGAAACGGUAAUAGCUAUGUCGCGGUCGUAUUCAAUUGUUGGGGAUCAAUGAAAUUACGUGAUUGAUGGUACCAUCCAUACGGAAGUCAGUAAAAAAAGUCCAUCAGCUUUUUAUCUGAAGCACUAAAAUAAAUGUGCUUUAACGAAAUUAAUUGCGGUAGGCAGCGGCUUGGCUCUGCCCUUGGCAUUGCUGAAGUCCAUGGGCGACGGUAACCACUCACCAUCAGGUGGGCCGUAUGCUCGUCUGCCUACAAAGGCAAUAAAUAAAAAUUAAAAAAUAAUAAUAAUAACGGUUUGUUUGUAUAUUAUGUUAUUAUAAAGUUUGUACAAACCGAAGAGAUACAAAGCUACUUUUUGUGAUGUCUAGAUCUUUGUAUAUGGUACGUUAAUAGUUAAGAUGUAUAUUAUGUAAAGUAUUAUGUAGUAUAUAAGCUUUAUAUAGGAAUGUAUUUAUGCAGUUUUGUAUUGUAUGUAAAAAAAUUCAAUUGCGAAUAGGCUUAACUAAUAAAAGAUGAAUGAUUUGUGAAAAAGUGGUUCAAAAUACAUGGUUAUUAUGAA